rnacentral:rRNA from 1 species
CCGUGAGGGAAAGGCGAAAAGAACCCCGGCGAGGGGAGUGAAAAAGAACCUGAAACCGUGUACGUACAAGCAGUGGGAGCCCCACCACUAAGCCAGUGGUGAACUCCACAUACGCAUCCUUUGCUGAGGAUACGGUUAACGGAGCGAAAGCGACGUUCAACCGCAAAAGAAGCAGAGGGGGCUUAGUGGUGGGGUGACUGCGUACCUUUUGUAUAAUGGGUCAGCGACUUAUAUUCUGUAGCAAGGUUAACCGAAUAGGGGAGCCGGAGGGAAACCG